AUUAAAUAUAAUUAAAUGGGUGAGCGGUUAAUUCAAAAAGAAAAUUUUUAAGUUGACUGCUUUAAAAGGGAAAUCUGCAUGAGUUAAAGCUGAGUGCUGCUUGUGACAGUGCGGUCCCGCCACUGUAAGCGAUAAAAGGGUCUUUCAAUUACCACUUGAUUAUUAAAAUAAUCGGGGAAGGUGAAAGGUUAAGGUCGUGAGCCAGGAAACCUGCCUAUUUAAUCUGCAGUUU
rnacentral:ncRNA from 1 species